rnacentral:rRNA from 1 species
GUAGGGUGCGAGCGUUAAUCGGAAUUACUGGGCGUAAAGCGUGCGCAGGUGGGGUUUGUAAGUCAGAUGUGAAAUCCCCGGGGCUUAACCUGGGAACUGCGUUUGAAACUGCAAGGCUAGAGUGUGGCAGAGGGGGGUGGAAUUCCGCGUGUAGCAGUGAAAUGCGUAGAGAUGUGGAGGAACACCGAUGGCGAAGGCAGCCCCCUGGGUCAACACUGACGCUCAGGCACGAAAGCAUGGGGAGCAAACAGGAUUAGAUACCCUGGUAGUCCAUGCCCUAAACGAUGUCAACUAGUUGUCGGGUCUUAACGGGCUUGGUAACGUAGCUAACGCGUGAAGUUGACCGCCUGGGGAGUACGAUCGCAAGAUUA